rnacentral:rRNA from 1 species
CACGUAGGGCGCAAGCGUUGUCCGGAAUUAUUGGGCGUAAAGAGCUCGUAGGCGGCCUGGUAAGUCCGCUGUGAAAGUCCAGGGCUCAACCCUGGAAUGCCGGUGGAAACUGUCAGGCUCGAGUCCGGAAGAGGCGAGUGGAAUUCCUGGUGUAGCGGUGAAAUGCGCAGAUAUCGGGAGGAACACCGAUGGCGAAGGCAGGUCUCUGGGCCACUACUGACGCUGAGAAGCGAAAGCAUGGGGAGCGAACAGG